rnacentral:lncRNA from 1 species
UUGCAGAAACAUUCUAACACUGUUUGAGAUCUUAUAAGCAAUGUUCUAAAAAUCAGUAUAGGCGAGCAAAUCGGUUAUAAUCGAAACAAUUUUUUUUAAAUCCAAUUUAUGUGUGUUUAAAUAGGUUUAAACAGUUUUGAAUCGACUAAAAUUGGUAUAAAUCGAUCUAAACUAUUCUAAUCUGUUUAUCAAGCAAUAAUGUUAGUGUAAAUCCAUAAAUUUGUCUACUAUUAUUUUUAUCUAAUUUUAUAAUUCAUAAAAAUAAUUUUAUAAUUAGACACAAAAAACUAAAAUAUCUAAUAUAAAUAUAAAUAUAUAUAUCAAUACUAGUUAAAGCCUCUCUAAUCUUCUAUAAAGUAUCUAGGCCUAACUAUUUCUUGAACAUUAUUUAUAAGUGUUUUUACCUGAGUACUGUCUUGAACACCACAGUUAGUGAUUCUGAAAGAAUGAACAGCCCAGUCCAAGUAGAAAGAGUGCUCGGACUUCCUGAGUGGUAGUCCUUCUCUGAGUGCAGCCUCAUCGAUCUGAAUGACACCAAAAAAAAAAAAGAGUGUUCUGCUUUCCUAAGAGGCAACCCUUCUCUAAGAGCAGCUUCAUCAAUCUGAAUGACUCCAAUACCUCCCUUCUCGAGGUCUUCCACUUCAUCUUUGAUAGCCAAAGCGAUCUGGUAACAAGUCUCGUGCCUAGGCUGGUCG